UACGUAGGCGGAAAAUUAAGUCAGUGGUGAAAUCCUGCAGCUUAACUGUAGAACUGUCAUUGAUACUGGUUUUCUUGAAUAUAGUUGAGGUAGGCGGAUUGUGUAAUGUAGCGGUGAAAUGCUUAGAUAUUACACAGAACACCGAUUGCGAAGGCAGCUUACUAAGCUAUGAUUGACGCUGAGGUACGAAAGCGUGGGGAGCGAACAGGAUUAGAUACCCUGGUAGUCC
rnacentral:rRNA from 1 species